ACUACAUGAAGCUGGAAUCGCUAGUAAUCGCGGAUCAGAAUGCCGCGGUGAAUACGUUCCCGGGUCUUGUACACACCGCCCGCCACACCAUGGGAGUCGGGAAUGCCCGAAGCCAGUGACCCAAGCGAGAGCAGGGAGCUGUCGAAGGCAGGCCGGAUAACUGGGGUGAAGUCGUAACAAGGUAGC
rnacentral:rRNA from 1 species